CAGGGAAUCUUGCACAAUGGGCGAAAGCCUGAUGCAGCGACGCCGCGUGGGGGAUGAAGGCCUUAGGGUCGUAAACCCCUUUCAGCAGGGACGAAAAUGACGGUACCUGCAGAAGAAGCCCCGGCCAACUACGUGCCAGCAGCCGCGGUAAGACGUAGGGGGCGAGCGUUGUCCGGAUUUAUUGGGCGUAAAGAGCUCGUAGGCGGUUGCGUAAGUCGGAUGUGAAAACUCAGGGCUCAACCCUGAGACGCCAUCCGAUACUGCGCUGACUUGAAUCCAGUAGGGGAGUGUGGAAUUCCUGGUGUAGCGGUGAAAUGCGCAGAUAUCAGGAGGAACACCCAUGGCGAAGGCAGCACUCUGGGCUGGUAUUGACGCUGAGGAGCGAAAGCAUGGGUAGCGAACAGGAUUAGAUACCCACGUAGUCCCUGAGCGGGCUGGCAAGGCGCAU
rnacentral:rRNA from 1 species